CCUACGGGAGGCAGCAGUGAGGAAUAUUGGUCAAUGGACGCAAGUCUGAACCAGCCAUGCCGCGUGCAGGAAGAAGGCCCUACGGGUUGUAAACCUCUGUUGUCAGGGAGCAAGGUGCAGGUCGGGACCUGCUGUGAGAGUACCUGAAGAAAAAGCAUCGGCCAACUCCGUGCCAGCAGCCGCGGUAAUACGGAGGAUGCGAGCGUUAUCCGGUGGUGUUGGGUUUAAGGGGGGCGCAGGCGGAGGCACAAGUCAGCGGUAAAAUCGCGGGGCUCAACCCCGCUCCGCCGGUGAAACUGUGUCCCUUGAGUGCGCGAAGGGUAGGCGGAAUGCGUGGUGUAGCGGUGAAAUGCAUAGAUAUCACGCAGAACUCCGAUCGCGAAGGCAGCCUACCGGCGCGCAACUGACGCUCAUGCACGAAAGCGUGGGUAUCGAACAGGAUUAGAUACCCGGGUAGUC
rnacentral:rRNA from 1 species